rnacentral:rRNA from 1 species
CUUUCCUUGACGACGACUGGCGCACGGGUGAGUAACGCGUAUCCAACCUUCCCAUGACCACGGGAUAACCCGUUGAAAGACGGCCUAAUACCGUAUGACGUCGUUUGCCGACAUCGAAAGACGACCAAAGGUUUGGCGGUGAUGGAUGGGGAUGCGUCUGAUUAGCUUGUUGGCGGGGUAACGGCCCACCAAGGCGACGAUCAGUAGGGGUUCUGAGAGGAAGGUCCCCCACAUUGGAACUGAGACACGGUCCAAACUCCUACGGGAGGCAGCAGAC